CAUUAAAUUUCACAAGAAGAAAGGUAUAGACAGGAAGAUAUGUACGUAAACUUGGAAUAAGACGAGAACCAAUUUUCAACAAAUUUGGUGCGUGAGUACACAAAUCAAGUUAUUUCAUCCUACGCGUAAAAGGUGUUAAAAUCAGACUAAAUACAUAUUUUCAAUGAUCAAAACACCAAAUAUGUAGACUCCUAUUCAUAUUGCCGAUCCUUUACUAAACAUAUGGUUAAUCUUUUUAUAUUUUUUAUGGUGAUGAGCCAACCCACCAUUUCCCGUUGUAUCGAAUAUAUUUGUAAAUUGGUGGUGGAGCGUAACACGGCGAAGUUCGUUUUUGUAAUUCUGUUGAAGAAUACAAUAGAAUUAAGACUCGAUUUUAUUCGAAAUUUGGAAUAAAAGGUGUAAUUGGAGCAAUUGAUUGCACUCAUGUUGGCAUAAUUGCACCUGCCUUGUCAAACACAGUUGUACCGCAUGAUUAUAUGAACAGAAAAGGUUUGUGACGAUGAACUAAUUUUCCGACUCGUGAAUGCAAAAUUUCCCGGCUCAUGUCAUGACUCCGGUAUAUGGACUACUUCGCUAGCAAGGAUAAAGUUAAGUUCAAUAUUAGGCACAUAAAAGCAAGAAACACGAUUGAAAGAGCAUUUGGAGUUUUAAAAUCACGCUUUCGUUGCAUUUCAAGAGAACGUACAUUGCGGUAUAAACAAUCCAAAGCUGCAUUAUUUGUUUAUACUUGUACAAUAUUUUAGAAAACCAUGGCAUUUUUCUAAAUGAAACCGAAAUAUUGCCAGAUCGAUCACCUCCUGAAAAUGUGGGAGCAAUCUCUGAAAUCCAUUCGGGAUAGUAUUACACUCGAGGCAGAGCAGCACGUCAAAGGUGCAUUAACACAUUAAAUAAUUAAAAUUCUACAUAUACAUAUAUUUCAAUUCAAACUUCAUUUAUU
rnacentral:lncRNA from 1 species